rnacentral:lncRNA from 10 species
CUGCUUACCCUGUUCCUUUUUGUAGAAACCACACUAAAUGCCUUUGCCAUAGUUUUCCUUUCUCCCUCAGGUUCCUGACCAAGCUGGUGCUUCUGCGUGUGUUCCUGCAUGACUUGGUGUGUCCCCUUCUCUUGGAUCUACUGCAGUUGACAGCAGAUAACUGAAAGCUCGGAAAGCGAAACCGUGGAUAAGCAGGGGAACUGUGGCAUCCCAUUUAAAAUUGCUUCUGAAGAGAAGCAUGAGGUUACAUCUGUAAUCUCCCUGCAGCAGAGUCAACUGCAUAAGAAACCAAAAGACACACCUGCUCCAUGCCAGGUUAGUACCCA